rnacentral:rRNA from 1 species
CAGUCGCCGCGGUAAUACGUAGGGUGCGAGCGUUAAUCGGAAUUACUGGGCGUAAAGCGUGCGCAGGCGGUUCGUUAAGACAGAUGUGAAAUCCCCGGGCUUAACCUGGGAACUGCAUUUGUGACUGACGGGCUAGAGUAUGGCAGAGGGGGGUAGAAUUCCACGUGUAGCAGUGAAAUGCGUAGAGAUGUGGAGGAAUACCGAUGGCGAAGGCAGCCCCCUGGGCCAAUACUGACGCUCAUGCACGAAAGCGUGGGGAGCAAACAGGAUUAGAUACCCCCGUAGUCCCUGUCUCUUAUAU